GUGAGUUGUGUAGCUGUGGGUGAAACAAGGCGGCCCUUGUUACGAAAAAGGAAAAUUCAACUAUUUUUACACUAGUGGGUCUCAUAAUCGUAAAUCACGGAGCCGAGCAGUUUGAGAACCUAGGUUAGGUUAAGUUAAACACCUAACCUAACCUAACAUUUUUACUUUUUUAAUGUCCAAGUUCGAUCAAAUAUUUUAAAAGUUUGAUUCAGUUCGGAUUCGAAUAUAAAUGUGUAAAUUCGGUUCGGUUCGGCCCUAAAAAUCUAGGUUCGUAACAUCUCUAAUAUGUAUGAUAAAUCGAAUAAUACGUAUGCGUUAAAAAAAAUAAAAAACACGGACACAGAGUAAAAUUUUAAAAAGACAAAUUUAUUUUAAAAUAGUAUAUGAAAAAAAAAAUAGGUUCGUACCUACCUAUUUUAUUGUUGUUAUAUUAAUUAAUAAUCAUUAUGGUUUUUUUGAAAUUUGAUAUAAAUUCUAUUUUUAGUGCCUAUUUACACCGUAAACCAACAUUGAAUUUUCAACAAUAAUCGAGAACGACGCAACAGAAAAAAACACAAAGUACCUAUGCACUUAAAUGUGCGAUUCAUUCGCAAUACAUUCUUUCUUAACAUAAGAAGAUUCAAUGAUUUGUACUGGAGGGGAGGCAAAAUGAUACCUACGCCACGCCAUAUCAAGGGGGUAAGUGCCCUACCUUGCCUCCCACAAUUCCACUGGGCACAGCAGUAUCAAUAAUAAGUAUUUACGAAAUAGAUUUCAUAUGGCUUUCAUGAGCCGUUUGUGGAAUAUUUUGUUUUAUAAUUUCAUAAAAUUAACGAACCCUCCGAGAAUUAUUAUAAGGUAACUGAAAAUUCCUAAGAGCUUGUCGAAAAUCAAAACACGAUAUUAUCGAAAAAAAUGCGCUAAAAUAAUAACUGUAAAUUAUAAUAAAUUAAACAUCGGGAAAACAAUAAUCGUACAGGCCUAUUUAUUAUAGAACGAAUUAUCCCAAUCAUCCCGAUUACCCCGAAAUAAAAACAACACAACUGGCGAAUAAUGCAUAACCUAAUA